rnacentral:lncRNA from 1 species
CUCUUUGUAAGUUUUUUUAAUUAAUUUUUUAUUCAUAAUUUGAUCUUUACUAAAAAAUUAAAUAACUCUAAUUUUUAUUUGUAAAAUCGUAUGACCGACAUGAGAUCCCAACUUAUCCCUGAGGGCUCGACUGCACCCACAGAUGAUAAGAUCUAUGAUCGAGUGUUCGGUAUGAGAUUCUAUUAUAUUAGGGGUCUAAGAUAUGGGAUCACUGCUCCUUCAUCUUCAUGAUCAUCUAGGGCUG